GACUGACUGGCGGAAACUGGCCUUGGAGGGAGAGCACCUUGAGGGGCUCUCCAGUGGGGCUUGUAAAGGAGUGGCUUAAAUGACUUUUCUUGAAAGCAGAGGUAAGGGAAAGGCCAAAAAUAUUGUGAAAAGAAAUAAAUUGUAGUUAUGGGCCAGGAUGGGAAAAUGAGAAGAACUUGGAGAGGGGACCGCCAGUGAGACUGGAAACCACGGCUUACUGCAGUUUCUAAAUUCUUUAAGGAAACGCAUUGAAGGAAACCAGUGGCACAGCUAACGGCCCUUCCUUCUGGAGUUGUCCUGGUUUUAAAUGUCUUGUCGCCUGGUCCACAUAGUCACAUGGAGACAGGAAGAGGAAAGUCUCGAGUGUCCUCUCGCCCUGCUCAGUUUUCAGUGUGUGAGGCCCUUCGUGGUAAGCAUCUGUUGGGAGCCCGCUCAGACCCGUCUUGCGCAAUCCGUUUGCUCAGUAAUGACAUUCGCCCAGAGGCCAGAAAAACCCUGAAGGAGUCGGGAAGCUUGGUGUCGUCAUUCUUCCAGCUGCAUGUUAGAAAAGUAUUUGGUUCUUGACAUAAUGCUAUAAUCCCAGAAAUGAAAUUGGGACUACAGAGACAGUGGAAGAGGCCAGAGAAGAAAUCAUCAAGCUGAUGCUACAUUUCAUAUGGAAAUGUAACCCAGAAUAACCAAAACAUUUUGGAAAAGGAAGAACAAAUUUGGAAGAUACACAUUUCCUGACUUCAGAACUUAUUAAAAAAACCUACAGAAAUCAAGGUCCCAUGUGACAAAGUUUGGAUUAGAUAUUGCAGAUGGCUUCAAGGGGAUUACUUGCCAGACUUUGUCAUGAGAAGCAUUUGACGAGAAGGACAAAGUGCACAUGCAUAAGCAACUUCCAAUCAGAACCUCUGCACGGGCUUGGCCAGGUAUCCGGAAACUCUGGGAAGUC